rfam:Anopheles minimus strain MINIMTS1 unplaced genomic scaffold supercont1.7, whole genome shotgun sequence.
GUCGGGUAUGGUGAUAUGGCGCCCAAAACGUACAUCGGAAUGUUUGUCGGUGCACUGUGUGCGUUGGCAGGCGUGCUGACGAUCGCGCUCCCAGUUCCCGUCAUUGUGAGUAAC